CAAGUAGUAGUUUACCUGAAAACGUUAAGUUGCAAACUUAAAGAAGAACAAGUUCCUACUUCU
rnacentral:tRNA from 1 species